UACGUAGGGGGCAAGCGUUGUCCGGAUUUAUUGGGCGUAAAGAGCGUGUAGGCGGCCAUGCAGGUCAGCUGUGAAAACUCGAGGCUCAACCUCGAGACGUCGGUUGAAACCGUAUGGCUAGAGUCCGGAAGAGGAGAGUGGAAUUCCCGGUGUAGCGGUGAAAUGCGCAGAUAUCGGGAAGAACACCCAUGGCGAAGGCAGCUCUCUGGGACGGUACUGACGCUGAGACGCGAAAGCGUGGGGAGCGAACAGG
rnacentral:rRNA from 1 species